rnacentral:rRNA from 1 species
GUGUCAGCAGCCGCGGUAAUACAGAGGGGGCAAGCGUUGUUCGGAAUUACUGGGCGUAAAGGGCGCGUAGGCGGCCCGCUAAGUCGAACGUGAAAUCCCCGGGCUCAACCCGGGAACUGCGUCCAAUACUGGUGGGCUUGAAUCCGGGAGAGGGAUGCGGAAUUCCAGGUGUAGCGGUGAAAUGCGUAGAUAUCUGGAGGAACACCUGCGGUGUAGACGGCUUACUGGACCGUAACUGACGCUGAGGCGCGAAAGCCAGGGGAGCAAACGGGAUUAGAAACCCUGGUAGUCC